rnacentral:tRNA from 1 species
UAUAUUUUAGUGUAUCAAAAAGCACAUUUAACUUUGAUUUAAAUAGAUAUGAAUUUAACUCAUUAAGUAUAU